rnacentral:tRNA from 1 species
UGCCUCGAUGGUGGAAUUGGCAGACACGCUAGCUUCAGGUGCUAGUGCCUUCACCGGCGUGGGAGUUCAAGUCUCCCUCGAGGCACUUG